rnacentral:rRNA from 1 species
AUUGAACGCUGGCGGCAUGCUUUACACAUGCAAGUCGAACGGCAGCACGGGCUUCGGCCUGGUGGCGAGUGGCGAACGGGUGAGUAAUAUAUCGGAACGUACCCAGAAGUGGGGGAUAACGUAGCGAAAGUUACGCUAAUACCGCAUACGAUCUAUGGAUGAAAGCAGGGGACCGCAAGGCCUUGUGCUCCUGGAGCGGCCGAUAUCUGAUUAGCUAGUUGGUAAGGUAAAGGCUCACCAAGGCGACGAUCAGUAGCUGGUCUGAGAGGACGACCAGCCACACUGGAACUGAGACACGGUCCAGACUCCUACGGGAGGCAGCAGUGGGGAAUUUUGGACAAAGGGCGCAAGCCUGAUCCAGCAAUGCCGCGUGAGUGAAGAAGGCCUUCGGGUUGUAAAGCUCUUUUGUCAGGGAAGAAACGGUAGAGGCUAAUAUCCUUUGCUAAUGACGGUACCUGAAGAAUAAGCACCGGCUAACUACGUG